UGUGAUAGAUUUUAAUUAGAUAGUCCUUCUUAGCCAUCUUUAGCUCCCGGUUUUUAAGGGCUAUCCAUCCAAUCAAAAUGCUU
rfam:Pelagibacteraceae bacterium BACL5 MAG-120820-bin39 contig00020.1_to_2_120820-bin39, whole genome shotgun sequence.